CGGAGGGAAACCGAGUCUUAAUUGGGCGUUAAGUUGCAGGGUAUAGACCCGAAACCCGGUGAUCUAGCCAUGGGCAGGUUGAAGGUUGGGUAACACUAACUGGAGGACCGAACCGACUAAUGUUGAAAAAUUAGCGGAUGACCUGUGGCUGGGGGUGAAAGGCCAAUCAAACCGGGAGAUAGCUGGUUCUCCCCGAAAGCUAUUUAGGUAGCGCCUCGUGAAUUCAUCUCCGGGGGUAGAGCACUGUUUCGGCUAGGGGGCCAUCCCGGCUUACCAACCCGAUGCAAACUGCGAAUACCGGAGAAUGUUAUCACGGGAGACACACGGCGGGUGCUAACGUCCGUCGUGAAGAGGGAAACAACCCAGACCGCCAGCUAAGGUCCCAAAGUCAUGGUUAAGUGGGAAACGAUGUGGGAAGGCCCAGACAGCCAGGAUGUUGGCUUAGAAGCAGCCAUCAUUUAAAGAAAGCGUAAUAGCUCACUGGUCGAGUCGGCCUGCGCGGAAGAUGUAACGGGGCUAAACCAUGCACCGAAGCUGCGGCAGCGAACGUAUCACCCAAGACAACUUUACGGAGUUGACGAUUGACGGAGCGAAGCGACGUCAAAGCGUUCAUUAAAGUCGAGUUGGCUUAGGGAUACGUUCGUUGGGUAGGGGAGCGUUCUGUAAGCCUGUGAAGGUGUGUCGUGAGGCAUGCUGGAGGUAUCAGAAGUGCGAAUGCUGACAUAAGUAACGAUAAAGCGGGUGAAAAGCCCGCUCGCCGGAAGACCAAGGGUUCCUGUCCAACGUUAAUCGGGGCAGGGUGAGUCGACCCCUAAGGCGAGGCCGAAAGGCGUAGUCGAUGGGAAACGGGUUAAUAUUCCCGUACUUGGUGUUACUGCGAAGGGGGGACGGAGAAGGCUAUGUUGGCCGGGCGACGGUUGUCCCGGUUUAAGCGUGUAGGUGUGUGUUCCAGGUAAAUCCGGUU
rnacentral:rRNA from 4 species